AGUGGUGUGGCUCAGUUGUAGAGUUUGUCUAACAAACAGAAAGUCCUGGGUUCAAUCCCCAGCACCACCA
rnacentral:tRNA from 1 species